GACGAACGCUGGCGGCGUGCUUAACACAUGCAAGUCGAACGGAAAGGCCCUGCUUUUGUGGGGUGCUCGAGUGGCGAACGGGUGAGUAACACGUGAGUAACCUGCCCUUGACUUUGGGAUAACUUCAGGAAACUGGGGCUAAUACCGGAUAGGAGCUCCUGCUGCAUGGGGGGGGUUGGAAAGUUUCGGCGGUUGGGGAUGGACUCGCGGCUUAUCAGCUUGUUGGUGGGGUAGUGGUUUACCAAGGCUGUGACGGGUAGCCGGCCUGAGAGGGUGACCGGCCACAUUGGGACUGAGAUACGGCCCAGACUCCUACGGGAGGCAGCAGUGGGGAAUAUUGCACAAUGGGCGGAAGCCUGAUGCAGCAACGCCGCGUGCGGGAUGACGGCCUUCGGGUUGUAAACCGCUUUCGCCUGUGACGAAGCGUGAGUGACGGUAAUGGGUAAAGAAGCACCGGCUAACUACGUG
rnacentral:rRNA from 1 species